GUUGCCUUGCAGCCGGAACUACUUUCAGAGCUGGUACUGUGGGAAUUAAUCAACUGAGCAUUCAACGGCGGUGUGCUUAUGAUUCAGUGCCCAUGCUGCUGUCGGCCAUUGCAGACGGAACAACACGGCAGACUCUUAUAAUCAAUAUCAGAGACCAUCGAUGUGCGGCGCUAUGGACUGACCUCAGAAAUACAUCCAGAAUAUUCGUGUUACAGUCAGUCAAUGGUCGCGGGGAACCUGGAGCCUAUCCCAGGGAGCAUCGGGCACAAGGCGGGGUACACCCUGGACAGGGUGCCAAUCCAUCGCAGGGCACACAAUCACAAUCACACACUCACACCCAUUCAUACACUACAGACACUUUAGACACGCCAAUCACCAUGCAUGUCUUUGGACUGGGGGAGGAAACCGGAGUACCCGGAGGAAUCCCCCGCAGCACGGGGAGAACAUGCAAACUCCGCACACACAGAACCGCGGGAAUCAAAACCCCAACCCUGGCGACAUGAGGCGAACAUGCUAACCACUAAGCCACCAUGCGCCUGAUAUGUUGAAGAAGAAAAAAAAGAGAGAGUCUGGUCUUUUAGGUGAUACUACUACUACUACUACUACUACUACUGCAUUUGACUAAAACUCUUUUUAUACAGUUAUAAAAUGACCAUAUCUUUUCAGGUAUAAGACAAGUCUUGAUACUACUACUAUACUACUAAUAAUAAUGCUUUCGACUAAAACUAUUUUUAUACAGUUAUAAAAUGACCAUGUCUCUUUUCUGGUAUAAGACGAGUCUUGAAAUGUCUCUGUAUGGAAGUAUUAUUCUAUGUACUAUACCAGGGGUUCCCAAACUUUUCCAGGGCAAGGCCCCCCAAAUGGCAUUAACAUUUGACCGAGGACCCCCUUUUGCAAGAUGUCUUUAAAACACAUAAAAAAUACAGACUUCUGAAUAUAUCCCCCCCCUUUUUUUUAUUAAUAAUUACUUCUUACAUCUUUACAUUACAUUAGGAAUUGAUUGUAUGUGUGUGGGUGUGUGGUUGUCUGAGUGAGAAUUUAUUUUUCACCCCAAAUUGUUGAGGCCCCCCGGGCGCCUCCUGGUGGCCCCCACUUUGAAAACCACUGUACUAUACUACAAUACACUAGUGAGGUGGCAUUCAUGAACAAUUUCUUAAUUUUGAACGAAUCUUUGAUAUGAUUCGGGCACAACAAGUUGUCUCAGAGAGUGAUUCGUUCAUUUUUGACCACGCAUCCUCAUAGGUUCUGUACAGGAAACGGAAAUGAUUAGUUCAACCUUGAGUCUUCGGGUCCGAGUCGUUUGCUCAUCACAUCACAGCCCCAAUGCAUUCAGAAUAUGGGGCGAUCCCGGGAUGAACGAUCGACUCAAACACGAAGACUUGAGACGUGAACAUUUCUGUUUCUUUUUCUGUGUCUGUUUCUACGUCUGUUCCCCGGAAUCAUUUCUGUUUCCGGGGAGCAGACGUAUCCCAGAUAGCAAAAUUUGUCUGGCUCACUUGUGGGCCACAUACUUGCUUUAGUUCUGGCCCAGUAUAUGCCUGGGUCUCCGGCCCAAAACUGGCCCUCACACUGUAAAGUGACUUAUAUUAUUUUAUGUGGCCCGGGUCUGACCCAGACGCUGUAAGACAGAUCUGGCUGAGAGUCGGCUUGGUCCCCGUGCCAGAUGUGGCCCAGAAACUGCUAAAUAUACUUCAUUUUAACAGGGAAACACAAAUUCAACAACUUAAUAAGAUUAAGGGCUUUUAUUAAACUUUAACAAACACACUCCAAUAUGAACAUUUAUUAACAUACUAUUAAAAACAACAAAAUAACAAAUAAAUAUAUUUACAGUAUAUUUAAAGACAAAAAAAUUAUCUCACACACACCCA